CUAAAACGUCCGUAGCCGGUCUGAUACAUUCGUGGGUAAAUCAACCAGCUCAACUGGUUGAAUUCUGCGAGGACGGCCAGACUUGGGACCGGGAGAGGUGUGGGGUACGCUCAGGGUAGGGGUAAAAUCCUGUCAUCCUGAGCGGACCACCUGUUGCGAAGGCGCCACACUAGAACGGAUCCGACGGUCAGGGACGAAGCCUAGGGGCACGAACCGGAUUAGAUACCCGGGUAGUCCUAGGUGUAAACGCUGUGGACUUGAUGUUGGGGGUGCUCCGAGCACUCUCAGUGUCGAAGCGAAGGUGAUAAGUCCACUGCCUGGGAAGUACGGUCGCAAGGCUGAAACUUAAAGGAAUUGGCGGGG
rnacentral:rRNA from 1 species